AGCUUAUCAAGAGAAGCGGAGGGAACUGGCCCUAUGAAGCUCAGCAACCUGCUCAUAGCAGUAGCAAGGUGCUAAGUCCAGCAAAAUGGCAUCCAUUUUGAAAGAUAAGGU
rnacentral:ncRNA from 2 species